AUAACUUAAACCCUAAGGCUGAGCGAUACAAUUAUUAAUCCUGUAGACCUGCGCGCAAGAUAUAGUGGAAAAAGGAAGUAUAAUCAGUAAACGCAAUCUCGAAUCCGUUUCCAAGCGGAAGGUGGUGCGUUAAUUACUUGCAAAUACACAAAUGUACCAAGAACAAUCGGAUCCUGUUCAGACUUGAUAAUAUAUUAAAUCUAACGUUUGCAAGAUAUCAGUCAAACAUUUUUAGAACUACUGCUUUUCUAUUUUUGGUGAAGACCAGAUUGCUCCGACGAUAAAUGUAUGCAGUGACGGUAAUCCAGCUUGGUCCCUUUUUUCUUCGUGUUUCCCAACUGGGAUUUUAUUUAAAUCAGUUAGGAAUUCUUGUCACAUUCGUUUAUUGCACACUGGUUACGAAUAUCAAUUAAUGCAUAUGCAAUAAAACCAAUGUUAUUUGAGAGGACCAAAAUAUCUGUUUGUUAACAAUCAGUGUCGAGUGAAGAUCAGGUUUCGUUUAUAGGUUCUUAUAAAAGAGCAUGGAGAAAAUUUCGAGAAUAUGAGAAGCGUACGUUAAAUACAGUUCUACGAUAUAUUAAAAAUGUAAGUUUCUCAAAUUAAUAUUUCUUUCUUUUAAAUAACUUUUGUAUAAAUAUGUAUUUUUAACCAUGUUGUACCACCACGAUA